AUUGAACGCUGGCGGCAGGCCUAACACAUGCAAGUCGAGCGGAUCGGCGGACGGGUGAGUAAUGCCUAUGAAUCUGCCUGUUAGUGGGGGAUGACGUCCGGAACCGGGCGCUGAUACCGCAUCCUAUCAGCUGAGCCUAGGUCGGAUUAGCUAGUUGGUGGGGUAAAGGCCUACCAAGGCGACGAUCCGUAACUGGUCUGAGAGGAUGAUCAGUCACACUGGAACUGAGACACGGCCCAGACUCCUACGGGAGGCAGCAGUGGGGAAUAUUGGACAAUGGGCGAAAGCCUGACCCAGCCAUGCCGCGUGUGUGAAGAAGGCCUUCGGAUUGUAAAGCACUUUAAGUUGGGAGGCGUUACCAACAGAAUAAGCACCGGCUAACUUCGUGCCAGCAGCCGCGGUAAUUC
rnacentral:rRNA from 1 species